rnacentral:ncRNA from 1 species
UUGAGCCGUGUGCAGUGAAAGUUGCAUGCACGGUUCUUAGGAGAGCGGCGGCCAGCAAUGGUCGCUGCUUAUCCGAC